rnacentral:lncRNA from 1 species
GGAGAGGACUGAUUUGCCCAGCCCUGAUGCAAUUAACUGCACAAAGCCAGGGCCACAAUCAUGAUCUUCAGUGUUUAUCAAAACAGUUGGGUGAAGGGCAAAGCAAUAUAGUAAAAUGAAAGAAGCAUGUAGCAGCAUAGACAGCAAAUAGCAGGGAAAUGAGAGCUAGAUAGUGACUUGAAGGCUCACCAACAAGCUAGGUAUAUCCUGCCCAGCCCUAAAACAAUUCUUUCAAGCUUUAUGACUCAGAGUUUUACCAUGAAACACUCCCUUUCUAGUUUCCUCCUGCAGUCAACAGAAGCGCUUACUGCUGACCUGUGGCAAUGUGCAAUGAGAACUCUUCUCAUGCUGGCUCAGCUGCCUGGGCCAACCCUGGGAUUGGGAGGGUUAAAUAUGCUGCGUCCUGAGGUGAAUAAAAACCCCCGGGGCUACAUGCAGCUGCUCCAGGGCUGGAAGGAGGAAAGGGUUUGUUAUGAAAGAGGAGGCUGGCACAGCACUAAGCAGUGUGAUGGGGAAAGCUGUUGGUCCCUCUUACCUCAACCUACAGCUGGGGUAACCCCAGCUCUGAGCUUCUGCCUCAGCUCCACCAUUCAGAGUUUAAUCAAAUUCAGCUUGGAAUUAGUCUUUUCUUCAAGUAGUUUUCUGAUGAGUAACCAAGUUACAUCAGUGGCUGAGUCAUAAAAAGCAAACCUUUGUGCAGCAAGAGCAAGCUAUGGAAACUCCCUGUCACAUCAGCUUUAUGACUGCCGUUUUCAGAUGUUUCAGAAAAAACAGCUUCUCUAUACCACAAUUAGCUCAAAACCUGUCAGUGGAAGUGAAUACAUGUUUUGAAAAUGUUAGCAAGUGAUUAAAUGGUACCUUAAUUGCAAAGAACAGAAGCAGAACUGCAUGUGGGAAGGGGGACUGGCUCGCCAGGUCCCAUGAUACUUAAUCCCCUGGGGACACAGCAGAUCUAAGUGCACUUGCAGGCUGUUGCAAUCUCCCCCUGUAACCUUGGAAAAAAUGGAGUUUCAAGGUCGAGCACCAAUCUGAAAGUCAGGUUUUAAGAGAAACUUGGCACCCAAUUUACCGAGCUCUUUUCAGCCUGGGGGAGAAGAUGAGAAC